UGGGGAAUAUUGCACAAUGGGCGAAAGCCUGAUGCAGCGACGCCGCGUGAGGGAUGACGGCCUUCGGGUUGUAAACCUCUUUCAGCAGGGACGAAGCGCAAGUGACGGUACCUGCAGAAGAAGCACCGGCUAACUACGUGCCAGCAGCCACGGUAAUACGUAGGGUGCAAGCGUUGUCCGGAAUUACUGGGCGUAAAGAGUUCGUAGGCGGUUUGUCGCGUCGUUUGUGAAAACCAGCAGCUCAACUGCUGGCUUGCAGGCGAUACGGGCAGACUUGAGUACUGCAGGGGAGACUGGAAUUCCUGGUGUAGCGGUGAAAUGCGCAGAUAUCAGGAGGAACACCGGUGGCGAAGGCGGGUCUCUGGGCAGUAACUGACGCUGAGGAACGAAAGCGUGGGUAGCGAACAGG
rnacentral:rRNA from 1 species